rnacentral:rRNA from 1 species
UAUACCUUAAGGCUUAGCAAUAAUUGUGUAGUAAAUAUAGAUAGAUAACGUUAGUAGUUUUUGUAGUUUUACGUAAGGGGGUCAAAUAUUUUAUGUAUUGAAUUAAUAGAAUAAGAUUAUUGUAUUGUAUCUUGUGAAGAUUAGGAUUUAGACUAGGAUUAGAUACCCUAUUAUUCCUUUUUGAAAAUUUAUUUAUAACUGGAUUAUUACGAGCUAGAUGCUUAAAAUUUAAAGAACCUGGCGGUAUAUUUGUAUUAAUUAGGGGAAUCUGCUUAUUAAUCGAUAUUCCACGUUGAAUCUUACCUUCUUUUGUGAUCAGCUUGUAUACCGUUGUUGUAAGUUAACGUUGAUAAAAAUUAUUAGUUAUCUGGAAAAAUGUUUAUUUUUUAUAUCAAAUCAAGGUGCAGUUAAUGAGAAGGAUUAGGUGGAUU